rnacentral:rRNA from 1 species
GAUGAACGCUGGCGGCGUGCCUAAUACACGCAAGUCGAGCGAACGGACGAGAAGCUUUCUCCUCUGAUGUUAGCGGCGGACGGGCGAGUAACACGUGGAUAACCUACCUCUAAGACUGGGAUAACUUCGGGAAACCGGAGCUAAUACCGGAUGAUAUUUUGAACCGCAUGGUUCAAAAGUGAAAGACGGUCUUGCUGUCACUUAUAGAUGGAUCCGCGAUGCAUUAGCUAGUUGGUAAGGUAACGGCUUACCAAGGCAACGAUGCAUAGCCGACCUGAGAGGGUGAUCGGCCACACUGGAACUGAGACACGGUCCAGACUCCUACGGGAGGCAGCAGUAGGGAAUCUUCCGCAAUGGGCGAAAGCCUGACGGAGCAACGCCGCGUGAGUGAUGAAGGUCUUCGGAUCGUAAAACUCUGUUAUUAGGGAAGAACAUAUGUGUAAGUAACUGUGCACAUCUUGACGGUACCUAAUCAGAAAGCCACGGCUAACUACGUG